UACGUAGGGUGCAAGCGUUGUCCGGAAUUAUUGGGCGUAAAGAGCUCGUAGGCGGUUUGUCGCGUCUGCUGUGAAAACUCGGGGCUUAACUCCGGGCCUGCAGUGGGUACGGGCAGACUAGAGUGCGGUAGGGGAGACUGGAAUUCCUGGUGUAGCGGUGAAAUGCGCAGAUAUCAGGAGGAACACCUGAGGUGAAGACGGGUUGCUGGGCCGACACUGACGCUGAAGCGCGAAAGCCAGGGGAGCAAACGGG
rnacentral:rRNA from 1 species